UUCAGGGAAGGCCUUGAUUAUUUCAGCAAGACAAUGUAAAUCAACAUUCUGCAUGUAUUCCAACAGUAUUUCUACUAUAUUAAACUGACCUGCCUGCAGUCCAGACCUGUCACCACAAGACACCAAAUGUGAUCUGUAUUGACUUCAAUACAGUGUGCUUUGGUUAACUAAGGCAGGGCUGCAUGAAAAAAAGCAUGAAGUUUUUGUACAUUUUGAUAUCUAGAAGUGCCAUGUGCCAAAUAAUUCACUUGCUUGAUCAAAUUAGAAACUGCAAAAAGAAUCAUGUGCAUUCUGCUUCAUUAAAUUGCCCAUAUUAUACAAAAAAUAUCUAUUUCAUAUGACAUAUAAACAUAGUUUUUAAAUGUAUUGUUCACUCCCCAGUCAAUACAGCCCAUAUAUGGAUAUUUCUCUGCAAAAGCAGCUUGUUUUUUUAUUCAUUAAUUUGUGAUGUCAUGAGAACCAAGUUAUUUACAUAUAUCACCCUACAGCAGUUACCGCCCCGCCCACUCUCACUUAUGUUACUGCGUCUUUGGAGUAUUAAGAGUAAAAUAAAAAAAAUGUAGAAUAUGGGCUCUUUAAUGUAGGAUAUUUGUGGCCUGUCUGAUGAAAUAUUUAGUGCAAACAAUCUUUUACACCUCACUGUGAAUUUCUACUGCUGAGUCUUACACACUGCAGUCUUACUUUGCAUUGUUCUCCAAUCUCUGGAAACUCCAGUGCAAUCUGAACUGCAGCCAUCCCAUCUCCACAAACAGCUACAACUCCACCUGCACAUUCAGCUGUGAGGAGGGCUUUGAGCUGAGAGGCUCACGCACAACCCAGUGUGAUCACACUGGACAGUGGACACACAGAUCCCUCCCUGCACAGCUGUACAGUGUUCUCCAAUCUCUGGAAACUCCAAUGAGUGGAGUAUGAACUGCAGCCAUCCCAUCUCCACAAACAGCUACAACUCCACCUGCACAUUCAGCUGUGAGGAAGGCUUUGAGCUGGUGGGAUCACUCACAACCCAAUGUGAUCAUACUAGACAGUGGACACACAAGACCCCCACCUGCACAGUGGAUCCACAGCUGUACAGUGUUCUCCAAUCUCUGGAUACUCUAGUGGGAGAAGUCUGAACUGCAGUCAUCCCAUCUCCACAAACAGCUACAACUCCAGCUGCACAUUCAGCUGUGAGAAGGGCUUUGAGCUGAGAGGCUCACACACAAGACAGAUCACACUGGACAGUGGACACACAAGACC